rnacentral:rRNA from 1 species
AACGAACGCUGGCGGCAUGCCUAACACAUGCAAGUCGAACGAGACCUUCGGGUCUAGUGGCGCACGGGUGCGUAACGCGUGGGAACCUGCCCUUAGGUUCGGAAUAACUCCCCGAAAGGGGUGCUAAUACCGGAUAAUGUCUUCGGACCAAAGAUUUAUCGCCUUUGGAUGGGCCCGCGUUGGAUUAGCUAGUUGGUUGGGUAAAAGCCUACCAAGGCGACGAUCCAUAGCUGGUCUGAGAGGAUGAUCAGCCACACUGGGACUGAGACACGGCCCAGACUCCUACGAGAGGCAGCAGUGGGGAAUAUUGGACAAUGGGCGAAAGCCUGAUCCAGCAAUGCCGCGUGAGUGAUGAAGGCCUUAGGGUUGUAAAGCUCUUUUACCCGGGAUGAUAAUGACAGUACCGGGAGAAUAAGCUCCGGCUAACUCCGUG